UACGAAGGGUGCAAGCGUUAAUCGGAAUUACUGGGCGUAAAGCGCGCGUAGGUGGUUCAGUAAGUUGGAAGUGAAAUCCCCGGGCUCAACCUGGGAACUGCUUUCAAAACUGCUGAGCUAGAGUACGGUAGAGGGUGGUGGAAUUUCCUGUGUAGCGGUGAAAUGCGUAGAUAUAGGAAGGAACACCAGUGCCGAAGGCGACCACCUGGACUGAUACUGACACUGAGGUGCGAAAGCGUGGGGAGCAAACAGG
rnacentral:rRNA from 1 species